UAGGUAUUCCUGCUGGAACCUGCUCCAGGGUGGCAUGCCAUGCUACACUGGUCCCAGUCAACCUGCUAAUAAUGUGUUCCUCUGCAUCUCCAUCUGUAUCAUUCUUGUUUAUACACAUCAAGUUCUGAUAUUGGAGUUUCUUUAGAGUUGGACUACAUUCAACCAUGUGUAUGUGCAAAGAGUCAGUGAAGUUCCUAAAUUUUGAUGCACCUCGUAGAAGAUCUGCUAAUAGAGUUCCUCGUCCUGGUCCGAGCUCUACAAGAUUUAUUUUUUUCGGUUGCCCCAUUUGCUCCCAAAGACACAUGGCCCAAACACCAACCAUCUCUCCAAACAUCUGGCUUACUUCAGGAGAGGUAAUAAAAUCACCUUCUGCGCCAAACACAUCGCGAUUAAUAUAGAAUCCUGCCUUUGGGUUAGUCAAGACUUCCUCCAUAUAUUCGGCAACUGAGAUGGGCCCGCCUCUGAACUUAAUGAUGCUCUUAAGAUGCUUAACAAGCUCGGUAUCCGAUGACGGUUCAUGGGAAUGCUCGGGAGGAUUAUAUAGGCCAGAUCGGUCAAUGGAGAUUGCUGCAGAAGGGGGAGUGGUACUAACUUCGCUGUCCUCCAAGUGUUCGACAGAAGUACCGUUAAGAGAUUGGGAAGUUGAUGCAGGAGAAGAAGAAUAUUGACGACACCAUGAGAGUGACGCGGAAGCACCAAACAGCGAACGACGCUGAGUUGAAGCCUGGAAUAGUAAUCUUUUUAACAUUUCGAAUUUGGUCGAG
rnacentral:misc_RNA from 1 species